CCUACGGGAGGCAGCAGUGGGGGAUAUUGCACAAUGGGGGGAACCCUGAUGCAGCGACGCCGCGUGGGUGAAGAAGCGCCUCGGCGCGUAAAGCCCUGUCAGCAGGGAAGAAAAUGACGGUACCUGAAGAAGCAGCCCCGGCUAACUACGUGCCAGCAGCCGCGGUAAUACUAAGGGGGAAAGCGUUCUCCGGAUUUAAUGGGUGUAAAGGGGGCGCAGCCGGCGAUGCAAGCCAGGAGUGAAAGCCCGGGGCUCAACCCCGGGACGGCUCUGGAAACUGGGUGGCUGGAGUGCAGGAGGGGCAGGCGGAAUUCCUGGUGUAGCGGUGAAAUGCGUAGAUAUCAGGAGGAACACCGGUGGCGAAGGCGGCCCGCUGGACUGCAACUGACGUUGAGGCCCGAAAGCGUGGGGAGCAAACAGGAUUAGAUACCCCGGUAGUC
rnacentral:rRNA from 1 species